AAGGAGUUGCCAUUAUCAUCCCCGAUAUGGAGGCGGGGAACCCAAAACACCAAGAGCAGUGGGUGCUUAGGAAGCCACAGAGCUGGGAGUAGAGCCCCAGCAGCCUGAUCCAGAGCCCCUGUUCUUCACCACCACCCUGCCCUCCUCCAGGGAGCACAAUGGGGGUCCCGGAGCCUCUUUCCAUCUGUUGGAUCUCGGUGAGAGCAUGCAGAUAUUCCCGAAAGCGGACUAAACCUGAUAUUUACAAAAACAUAGUUUUAAAUGAUCAAGACAGUACAAGUUUCAACAUCAGCUAGAGAACAUGCACAGUCAUACCGCCUAAUUUUGUACCUGUGAUAAACUCUGGCUAAAACCAAUCACAUGGGGAAAAGCUUGUCGGAUGAACAUCUACAUCACUAUUAAUUUUCAGCCAGCAUAGAAUGCAUGUGGCUUGAGAGAAACUGUUUAACAACAAAAAACUCCUAUGAAAAAGCAAAUGAGUAGGAAUGGGCAAAGAUGAGCUCCAUGACUAAAACGCUGAUCUCUUUAUCCUUCCUGUUUGCAAAUAAGCCAUGGGAUCACCAUCUUAACUAGAAUUCUAGUUAAGUCAAAACAAGACACUCAGGCACACACUCAAGAACGAGCAAUACUUUGGAAACAGAAGAAUUGUACAUUUUAUGAUUUUCCAUUGCAUGUACUACAUCCAUCCACUCCCCUGUCCCUUUUAAGCAAAUAGGCUUUAUAUUGGAAAAUGUUAUUUACUCAUUUAGAAGGCCACCGUAACGACUGGGCACUUGAGGCACAAAAGUAGUAGCAAAUAGGGGAGAUACUUAAAAAGUGUCAGCUGUCCAGGACUUAUUGCCACUUCUCUGACAAAACACAGGUGAACACAUUCAUGUUUCCAAGCAAGGGAAACUCUACUUCUAGAAUCUCAUUACUUCUGGACUUUUUCUAACUGGCUAUACACAUUAGCUUGGUUUGCAGCAAGUAACAAACAUUUGUUCUAAGCCUGGUGCAUUUGCUGAUGUGACUGCCGACAGCUAUGUAAUUCACUCACGAGGGCUAUCUGACCUUUUAUUUGACAUUAAAUUAAACAGACUAAACAUUGCUGUUGUACAAGAUGAGUUCUAGUAACUCAACUGAGUGUAACUUUUCAAAGUUGCUGAAAUAAAAAUGUGUAUUUAUUUUCAUAAAACUACAUGUAGUCUAUGCACACUGCAAAAGCCAGAGUUUCUAUAAUGUUUUGUUGGGAUAUUAAAAAUCUUUUCCCACCCUUUUUGAAUCUAACCAUUUGGUAAUGGGGCAACAGCACAACACAGAGAACGCUGAGAGGACCAAAAUGUUUGCAAACAAACUUUCAUUAUUCUAGUUCAAUCUUUCACAAACAUACUGUACAGAGUCUUAUAUGGUAUAAAACAAAGGAAAACAUCUGUCUGUUCAAUUUAACACAACACCAAAAUAAAGCAAUUAAGACUUUGGGGAAUUCAAAGUACAAGAAAACAAAAACGAUUAUUACUAAUUCCUCAGCUUUUUACCAUAAACACUUGUCAUUUAACAUAGUGUUUGAUAUAGUUUCUUUUGUACUGCAAAUACUUUUGGUCUUUCCUCCCCGUAGAACAAAUGAAGAAUUAAAAUGGACCCCAUAGCAUCCUCUGAAGGAGGUGAAAAGAUAAAGCUCCUAGACAUAGCUAGCUUAUCUUUAAGAAUCUAUUGUUUCUGAAAUUUUCACAACAAAAAUACUGAAUCCCCAACUAAUGAUGCUUAUUUUGGGAAACAAUAAAUACUGUGAGGUACAAUAAAUCCUACAGGAAUAAUAACAACAGAAACAUAUUAACAGUUUCCUUUGGCAAAUUUAACGGAAGUGAAUGCUGAUGUGAACAUAGAAAAAAUAAUUACAAAAACAUGAAAAAUGGAAACGACAUAAAAGUUAAAAUAAAGGGAUAUUUCUAACUUUUAGACUGAUGAAAGAAAUGUCUGAGGCCAUUAAAUGCAAAAAAGAAAUACAUUCUCUUUAAAUUAUUGUGUACUGUUUGACAAAAUAUUCCUUGUUUAUCUCUUCUUUUCCCCUCCACUUAAAAAAAAAGGAAAAAAGAAAAAAAAAAGACAACAAAACAGUCUGCAAUGCACACCCUAAUGGUUUUGGCUGCAGACUGAACUUGAGUAAAUAUCAUCAUUUAGUCAGUAUGUUGUGGUAGCUGAGGCUGCCGAUGUGGUUAACCAGCUCAGGCAACAUGUGUAAACAUCGGAAACAAAACAAAACAAAAAAGGUUUGGAGAAUAGUCUCUCUCCUCUUUCUCACUCUCAAUUGCUUGGUUUCAGGCUUGCUUUCAUUUCUCUCUGACAAAUCGUGUGGGGAAACACAAAACACUGAACAUUGAGAGAUCCUGCUUUAAAACCCCCUUCUUCUGGCUUUUCAGAAAGGAGUGUUGCUCCAUUCAAGUUUAGCACAUGUUUUCAAAGCUUCCAAGUACUGCUGCUGUUAAAUGCCUUUUGAUUUUGUCUACCAAACAGGCCUGAAUUAUAGUACGACUGCAGAAUUUGCAACAAAUUAGACAGCCAUACAACAGACCGACCCAGUUCAGAGGAUUUCUUUUUAAAGGAUAAGGGUUAGGGCCUUGGAAAUGAGUGUUCGACUCUUUUACUGUAUUCAUCUUUGUUCCGUAGCGGGUAAUUUGGGCUUUUGUAUCCUGAAAUAUUAUCCUGCCUCUGAAGAAUAAAUGCCUUGGCUGUUUCACACCACAUAAUUUUGUUUUCCUUUUAUGUAACUUAACGUAUAAGCAAGAAGGAUGCAAUGUUGAUUCUAAUAACAUUCGGCACUUGAAAGAAUCACCAAGUGUUUUUUUAAAAAGCGGUUUUCUGGUGGCCAACAAAUUGGCCUGUGGUUAUGUUGAGUGACUAAUUGUAUUUUCUUUUCUGGAAACUUGUGCAAAGUUGGCAGUUUUGUGUUAACACUAAUACUUUGUUUGGCAUUUGUGCCCUAUACUGACCAGACCAUUUUUAUACAAGUGAAUUUUUUUUAAAAAAGACACUUACUGAAGUAUGGCAAUAGUUUAAGGAUAAAAAAGAAGCAUGGUUAUUACACAUCCCCUUGUAGUGUAUGAAAAAAAGUGCAUGACGGGAUUUAUGUACUAGUACAGGACAUUUUAAAAAAUCAGAUCUGUGCUGUAAAGCAUGCCAGCACCUCUUUAGCACUAUAUCUAACAGGUAGUAAAAACAAGACCAUGUUUUUUUCUUUUUUUAAAAAUGUGCAUUAAUGCUAACAUAAAUGAAUAGAGCUAGCCAGCAAACUAUCUUUUCCUGCAUAUCUAACAGCUGGAUGUAACUGUAAAAAUUAAACAAAAAAGUUAAACAACCAUCAAUACAAUUGUUUUACAUCAAUGGCCCCUCAAGGCUAAAUAUUUACAGGUGAAUCUGCCAUGCUUUAAUUGAAGAUUCUUUCAAAACCUUAAAGUUCACAAAAGACAACUAUAAGAAGUUCCUUUUUGUUUCUUUUUUCUUUUUUUUCCCUUUUAUUUUUGCAGGCAACAGUCAUGGGUACAACAAAUUGUCUCUUUGGGGAAGACCAAGAAUUAUUCUGUCAAAACUGGGGCUAGUUGCACACUGUGUGUGUGUGUGUGUGUGUGUGUGUAUGUGCAUGUGUGUGUGUGUGUGUUUAAAGGGGUACUCUGUUUUCACCCUGAAAUCAAAGAUCCCACUCCUUUCCCAAAACUAUAAAGGGAAGUGAAAAAAAUUCAAAAGCACCUAGUGUUUAUCUUGUUUAUCUCAAGGAAAUACGUGUGUGUAUAUGUAGCCACAGAGCAUACAUAAAUGCACACACACACACACACACACACACACCCCAAGUACAUAAGCGCACACUGACUAUGGCAGUUCAAACACGUAGGCCAUCUGGUGAGAGCUGGCAUUUGUAGUGUCCAUUCUGAGACUAAUCUACUGAAGUGAAGGGAAUGUUUUUGUGGAGAUUAGGGUUCUGACUGUGCCGAUUUCGGCUUCGUACAGAGGAAAACAUCAUAUUGCAACCUGGGACUUUGCACUUGUGCAUUUCUCUCAAAUGCACAGUUUUGUAGUGCACUCUCAGGGUCCCCUUGUUGCUGUACAUUUUGUGGCAAAUGUUGCACAUGAUCCCACCAUUGCUCCCAGACAAGCUGCUGAACAUAAGAGAUCCUGAAACUUCAGCCCCUAGGCUGCCAGGGAGGGCAGGGGCCUCGGCCUUGUGUGCCGACUCCCCACUGUCACUCGCCCCGUCAAUGUCAUCGAGAAGAAUCCCCUCAUCGCUGCCUGCGUCGGAUUCUCUGGAGGAAUGGAUACUGCUGCUGGACUGGAGGCUGGAGGUGGUGCUCAAGUCAAGGACCAUGUAGUCCUCUGCCAUGCCUCUCCCAUACCCGUUCAGGUGGGAGUCUUCAGUCCCUGCGGGAGAGGAGGCGUCUUCCCUGACAUCGAGCCCCAUGGGGUGCUGGGCACCAUAUAUCUUCACCAAAAAUUCAUCGCGGAGGUCCUUGCUAAGGGAGGGCUGCGACGAGUCCAGGCCCAUGUCAUCGAGUUCUUUGGUCAACAGUUUACGAUGUAGGUUUAUGUUGGCACUGUGUCUAGGAAAACAAGAGGGAAGGGGGGGUACGUGGAUGGGGGGUGGGGAAAGGUGAGAAAAAGGAAAGCAUUUUAAAAUUGAUUCAGCUUUCACUAGGUAUCAAAUAAGCACAUUCACUUCUAAUUACACCAUUAUAAAAGCAAGCAUUCCCCUAUAUCCUCAGGAUCUGGGAGUUAGUGGUGGUGGUGAGAGGUGCAAUCAGGGGAACUUUCCAUUAACAUUAUUUUUAUAAGAGAGUUGACUCUGUCAAUGGUAGGAUGAAUGCAAACCCGUGCACCUUUUUCUCAAUGAUUACUCUGUUAGUUUUACUAUGUAGCAGCAUCAGCUGCAGAGAAUUUCAUGGCAGAGAUUUUAGAAUAUAUAUUAAAUAGGAUAAAAGAAUAGAAACUUUCUGCUUGUCUAAAUGGAAUAGUCUAAAUUUACCUAAAAACAAGAAAAAGUAAACAUCUUUUCUAUACAGCACACACUUUAUUUUGAGGUAUAGAAAAAAUUCAUUUUUUAAAAAAGUAGCCUAGAUAAUUUAGAUAUAACUUCAAAAAAUAAUGAAAUCUUCCGUCUCUACCCUCCACAUUUCAAGUUUUAAGGAAAAACAAUAGCUUAACAGAUUAAGCAAUUUGAAAUAGGGUUACAGACUGUCUUUUAACAACACGAAUGCCUUUUCUCAGAAUGAUUUGGGAAUCCCAGUUAAAUCUAAUAAUAAAAUACAUUUACUUUUUAGAAGUAUGUGCAUUUUAGUGUCCAAAAUAUUUUCAUCGAGUAGUUCUACUUUAAAAUUUAAUUCUUUAAGACAAAAACGGAAAAACAGAAACUUUUUAAAAAAAUAAAACCCACCCACCUUUUUAAAAAAAAUCACACUGAACAACAGAAAGAAAACUCAGAGGUACAAAAAUUAAAACACAGUAAGUACAAAAAAAUCAAGCACAACAAUAACAUAGGGUUCCUUUACUUUAACAACUGGAACCCAUACUUCUUCGACAAGCAAAACUUUUAUUCUACUCACUCAGUGCUUUGCUUGUAUGUAUGUAUGUAUAUACAUACACAUAUACAUAUUUUUUUACAUAUAUAUAUAUAAAGACAGGAUUUGUCCCAGAGAAUCCAUAGGGACAUCAUGAUUUACAAAGCCUGAUAUGUUAUCAUCUAUCUGGAAACAUUGUCUUUGUAUUUAUAUCCCCCAUUAUUUUUAAAGUGCCCUUGGGCACAUACCUCUCUCCACCUGCAAAGGCUCACAUGUUCAACAGUACCUAAAUUGAAGGUUACCCUUCCAAAAAAUAAACUGACAUAUCUACAGAUACAUAAAAGCUUCUCAAUACUGGUGGAAGCUCUACAGCUUGGAGAAGUAAUUGUGAUAAAAGAAAUGACCUAAAUGGCUGAUAUAAAGUUCAACAGACCUCCCGAUUAUACUUAAAAGUAUGGAAGACCAAAAUGUGUCAUUCCAUUUGGUGACAAACGUGGGUGAUAUUUCCUAGAGAUGGUUGAGAGGUAUGUGCCUCAGAGACAAGAAAGGUGGGGAAGACUUCUCCACCUUUCCACACAAGACAAUAUACAGCACUCUGGGUUUUAAGGGGCAGAGGGCAGCAGCCCUCUCCAACUGCACUUAGGAAGGCUGAGCUUACCUUGUGACAAUAAGAUCAGCUUUCUAAUCUUUUGCUAAAUCGAUCACAAAAGAAAGCAAGAAUAAGAGACAGAGAGAGAGAAAGAAAGAGAAAGAGAGAGAGAGAAAACAAAUUCACAUUCUAGACAUCUGGUUUUGAAAAACUUAAACAAUAAAAUAGGGAUUUAAAACGUUCUGAUCACAAAAUUAUUUUCUGUCAUAAGCGAUCAUCCCAUACGCUGUCUUGAUGAUUUUCAGAUCAGCUGUAUAAUCCAAAAAUCAUAAAUCGAAUUAACACAAACCAAAUUCACAGCAUCAUCAUCCACAAAUGAGUUCUAAACAGAUGCAUGCAGUGUGUGGGUAUGUGAAUGAUAAACAGAAGUUGUCCCCACGGUCCCUGCUCUGACACAGUAAUUCCCCGUUUCCUUGGUGUCAGAUGGCAGAUGACUCCAAGUGCAGGUUGCUAAGCAAAGUGCAGGAAAUGCCUACUGUGAGGUCUUUACUCUGACAUGUGGGUACAACACCACCAGUUAUUACAAGAAUGUGGAAGUAGAGUUACGCUAUGCGCUAUUAUUCUAUUGAUAAAACUAUCUGCCAACUAUGAGCAGCUCAUGAAAUCCUACCCGUUUAUUAUUUUUAACACCCUCCCCCUUUCUUAAUUUCACGAGCACACAUUUUGCGAUGACUGUAAUCUAGAACUCUGUUGCUUCUCACACAUCUGCAGUUACCACUUCCUAGGUUCACUGCUGAGAAAACAGCAGCCAGACACACAGCAGUUGCAUCAAGACACACUGAAUAAGGAAGAAUAAAUUAACAUUGAGAAAAGGACACACUGAUCACCCAGAUGGACACAUCUUCCCUAAGAUGACUUGUGAAAUUACACAUCUCCACCAAUAUGUUACCAGAAAGAGAUUUUCUCUUCAUUUCUCACUUACAGCAGUAGAAAUCUGUAAUCUAAUUAGACGAUGUACCAGCCCUCAAUAUCUGUCAACCAAACGAUGUGCAGAAAUGUGUAGACCAGCUCUGGCACUCUGUUCAACAGUGUCCCUUUUCCGCUGUCAGCAGUACUGUUGGCCUCUGCUAAUAUAAUUACAUUGACUUUUAUUCAAUUAAGUGCCAUCCCUCACUUUAAAAAAAACAGCUACUUUAUCAAUUGAUUCAGGUGUAAUGCAAUAAUAAAGAUGAACUCAUGGCAGUGCAUUAGCUCUGCUCUUCAUAACUUCAGUACACGGGUUCAUUCAUGGUAGUCGAUUUCCAUUAUGCAACCACAGUUCAAGAGAAUUGAUUCUUUUACGUUCAAUUCCUAAUCUAUUUCAUUUUUGUUUAAUAAUCCUCCUAAAUGCCAUAUGCAAAACACUUGAAGUGGAGAUGGGAAGGAUGGACUGAGGAAAGUCUGCUGUUCACUCUCAUGAUAGUGGGCUUGAAGAUUUUCUCACAAACUCACACAGUAUUCCUAAGGUGGAAGGAAGGAAAGCACGAGAAGGAAAGCAGACUAAAAUUCUUUAGAGGGUACCGAUCCUACCCAAGAGGUUACGGUUCAGUCUCCAAAGAAGGGACAAAAGACAGCACUUGAUUUUAACAAAGACCUAUUGUUGGACUCUUGAAUCAGUCAAUCCAGACCAUUAGCUGUCAUAAAAUACUGUCCUCAUGAGACACAAAGACCUAGGGUUAAUAGCAAUUUGAGGACUAUUACAAGUUUAUCCGGAUCAGCAAAACUGAAGAGGUGAAAAGAGAAGUUGGGAGAGACACAGAAAGAACUCUCACCUACUGAUAAUCAGAUGUCGAGAGAAGACCCUAAAAUGGCAGGAAGGCCAGAGAGUGCUGGAAACAGGAGGGGGACUCCCUGGCAGAGGAAGCCCUACUCAGUUGUAUGUAACAAUUGGAACAAAGAAUCCAACAAGGAACCAAUUUUGAGCUCUCCAGCGACAGAGAUGGUUUUUCUAGAAACAGAUUUAGUGUUCUGAAUAUUUAUCUCUAGGAAAGAGGGAAGAAUACUCAAUAACAAAUAUCUAAGACUGUAUUAGAACUUCUUACAUUCUAUAAGAACAUGAACAGUAGAAAGGUUGUUUCUACUUGCUUUGAUUUGGAAGGCAAGAAAGAUAUAUGGAAGGAAGUUCCUCUUACAGAAAAAAAGUGACUGGAAUGCAGAGAGAAAAUGAGUUCAUAGGUAUAAGGGGUAAGGACUUGGUCUUAAGAAGUGCAGUGGUAAUCAUUAAGGCAGUGGUCCAAACCUUAGCCCCAGACGUUCACUUUCAAGAACAUAACUAAAUCUUACUCAAUCUUAUGUGUCCUGCACGUAAAGUAGAAUACUUUGCACAGAGGAGGUACUUAAAAGUACAUUGGUUUCCCUUCCAUCAAUAAUAUGCAUGAGUCUUCAAAAAGUAUUUCCCAAAAUACACUGUAGAAGGGAAGAAAGCAAUGAUCCCAAGGUAGGACUCAUGUAACAGAAUAUCCAAGGAAAGGUGGUGGCGACAAAACAAACGGUGAUCCUGACGCUAUUAAUACCAUAGUAUGUUAUAAGGGAAUGCCACAAAAUUAGGGCUUGAAAAAGCCCUGUAACUUGGGCUAUGCUUGGAACUACAAAUGCUUCCUUUAAACCUCUGUACUCUUUCUAUACUGUGAAUCUACCAAAAGCUUGUUAAAGACCAAUAUCACCCUUAAAAGCAAAAAGUUACAAAACCUUGGACUGAGGGGAGGGUGCUGCAGAACCAAACUUCCUUCUUCUUUGAAAUGCUGAGUGGAAGUACUCUAACUGGACUAAAGUGGACUACCAGUCUUUUUCUGUUCCUUUGAUGAAAACUUUACCAUGCAACCACAGAAGACAUGAAAUCCAUCAAACGUAGUCAAGUAAGUGCAAAUGCCCUUUAGAGAGAAAGCAAGUCUUGCCUUGGACUUCUCUUUUCUCAUCACAUUAAGUUAGAUUUAAUGUGAUGUCUGGCCCAUAAAACUAAAAACAAAAACACUAUCUAAAGAAAGUGUUUUGAGGUUUUA
rnacentral:lncRNA from 1 species